rnacentral:rRNA from 1 species
UACGGGAGGCAGCAGUGGGGAAUAUUGCACAAUGGGCGAAAGCCUGAUGCAGCUAUGCCGCGUGUAUGAAGAAGGCCUUAGGGUUGUAAAGUACUUUCAUCGGGGAGGAAAAAACAAAACUAAUAAUUUUAUUUCUUGACGUUACCCGAAAAAGAAGCACCGGCUAACUCCGUGCCAGCAGCCGCGGUAAUACGGAGGGUGCUAGCGUUAAUCAGAAUUACUGGGCGUAAAGAGCACGUAGGUGGUUUUUUAAGUCAGAUGUGAAAUCCCUGGGCUUAACCUAGGAACUGCAUUUUGAAACUGAAAUACUAGAGUAUCGUAGAGGGAGGUAGAAUUCUAGGUGUAGCGGUGAAAUGCGUAGAUAUCUGGAGGAAUACCUGUGGCGAAAGCGGCCUCCUAAACGAAUACUGACACUGAGGUGCGAAAGCGGUGGGGAGCAAACAGGGAUUAGAUACC